AAUCCUAUGAUAAACCUGUUUUAGGAACUGGAUCAGUACAUUUCAGUACAAGGAUUU
rnacentral:tRNA from 1 species